rnacentral:lncRNA from 1 species
AAUUAAAGAAGGAAGUCUAAAAAUCAUCCAUGUGUACGUUAUUUUUAUUUAUUAAUAUAGAGAUAAGCUUGCUUCAAACAAAGUUAUUUAGAUUUGCAUAAGCUAAUAUGCUUUAUUUAUAUGCAUAUUAAGGUUGAGUGAUUAUUGAACUUUCAUUUUUAUCAGUUUUCCAUAGCUGUGUUAUUUACUAACGAAACGUGUAUCAGCAAACCUGAAAAUUCAAAAUUUACAAAGAGGAUAGAGAAUAGCGAAACCUGAAUUGACUGGUGAUCAUAAAUGCCUGAACCUAUAACCAUGGGAGAGCACCAUAAGAAUUCCAUAAGCAACAAAUACUGCAAAAAGAUACAAUCAAAUAACAACUCUAAAGAAAAGCUAUGAAGAACUGGAUAUUCCUAACUGAGAAAAAAUAUGUCAUCAGCAAAACACCUGUCCUUUCGACCAUACUACGACGUUAGCUGUGGUUUCAGUCUGAUCUACAUAUCAAAGGAUGAAAAAAGGUGUAUGUGGGCGAAACAACAUAUCUCCACGUCAAUUUAUGUUUUCGUUGAUUAACUACACACACACUCAAACCUCCAUUAACAUCUAAUCGGAUGAAGAGAGUGGUGUACGUGCACGUGACAACAAAAGCAGGUUAACAACAGAAAAAAACCAAGCAUGUAGAAAAGCCCCAAAUUAAUAUAUCUAACCCGUUUAAAAAAUGAAUAUAAAAUCGUUUUGUUAAGUCAAAAUCAAUAACAACAUUAACUGCAAACUUACAAACCCUAAUCUGAAUGGAUGAAUAUCAUACCAGUUUUGCAUGAAACUAAUCGGUAGAUAGAAAAAACAAUUAAAAGAAUAUCAAUUUUAGUAAUAAAAAGGCUAAUAAAAU